rnacentral:rRNA from 1 species
AAUAUUGCGCAAUGGGGAGAACCCUGACGCAGCAACGCCGCGUGAGGGACGAAGGUUUUCGGAUCGUAAAGCCCUGUCAUUGGGGAGGAAAAGAUGGCGGUACCCAAGUCGGAAGCCCCUGCUAACUACGUGCCAGCAGCCGCGGUAAUACGUAGGGGGCGAGCGUUGUCCGGAAGUACCGGGCGUAAAGGGUGCGUAGGCGUCCUUUUAAGUCAGAUGUGAAAGCCCACGGCUUAACCGUGGGAUUGCAUUUGAAACUGGAAGGCUUGAGUAUCGGAGAGGGUAGUGGAAUUCCCAGUGUAGCGGUGGAAUGCGUAGAUAUUGGGAGGAACACCAGUGGCGAAGGCGACUACCUGGACGAAAACUGACGCUGAGGCACGAAAGCUAGGGGAGCAAACA